GUUGAUAUUUUAUUUGUUUUGUUUAUUUGAAUUUUAUUUUAUUUUGGGAUAUUGACGUUAGUUCGAAUACAAAUAUAAGUUUGGACAGAGAAAAUUCCAAAAUAUGUAAAUAUUAUAUAGGUUUGAAUAUUUAAUGCAUAAUUAGGAUAUUCAGUUAUAUCCAAAAAUACUCAAACCUAUAACUUACCAAACUGAAACUGAUCUGAAUAUGAAAAUAGUACACUUUUAAUCAAAAUAUCCAGACCGAACCCUAAUAGUAGCCAGAUGUCCAUAUUGUGUUCAUUAAU
rnacentral:lncRNA from 1 species